UCAAGUAAUUAAGUGCAUGUGGUGGAUGCCUUGGCAGUCAGAGGCGAUGAAAGACGUGAUAGCCUGCGAAAAGCUCCGGGGAGGCGGCAAAUAUCCUUUGAUCCGGAGAUGUCUGAAUGGGGGAACCCACCUACUUUAAGGUAGGUAUUGCAACAUGAAUACAUAGUGUUGCAAGGCGAACGAGGGGAAGUGAAACAUCUCAGUACCCUUAGGAAAAGAAAUCAAUUGAGAUUCCCUCAGUAGCGGCGAGCGAACGGGGAUCAGCCCAUUAAGUUAUGUGUGUUUUAGUGGAACGCUCUGGGAAGUGCGAACGUAGAGGGUGAUAUUCCCGUACACGAAAGGGCACACAUAAUGAUGACGAGUAGGGCGAGGCACGUGAAACCUUGUCUGAAUAUGGGGGGACCAUCCUCCAAGGCUAAAUACUCCUGACUGACCGAUAGUGAACCAGUACCGUGAGGGAAAGGCGAAAAGAACCCCUGUGAGGGGAGUGAAAUAGAUCCUGAAACCGCAUGCAUACAAGCAGUGGGAGCACCUUCGUGGUGUGACUGCGUACCUUUUGUAUAAUGGGUCAGCGACUUAUAUUCAGUAGCGAGGUUAACCGUAUAGGGGAGCCGUAGAGAAAUCGAGUCUUAAUAGGGCGUUUAGUUGCUGGGUAUAGACCCGAAACCAGGCGAUCUAUCCAUGAGCAGGUUGAAGGUUGGGUAACACUAACUGGAGGACCGAACCCACUGUCGUUGAAAAGCCAGGGGAUGACUUGUGGAUAGGGGUGAAAGGCUAAUCAAGCCUGGUGAUAGCUGGUUCUCCCCGAAAGCUAUUUAGGUAGCGCCUCGGACGAAUACCAUAGGGGGUAGAGCACUGUUUCGGCUAGGGGGUCAUCCCGACUUACCAAACCGAUGCAAACUCCGAAUACCUAUGAGUACUAUCCGGGAGACAGACUGCGGGUGCUAACGUCCGUAGUCAAGAGGAAAACAAUCCAGACCGCCAGCUAAGGCCCCAAAAUCAUAGUUAAGUGGGAAACGAUGUGGGAAGGCAUAGACAGCUAGGAGGUUGGCUUAGAAGCAGCCACCCUUUAAAGAAAGCGUAAUAGCUCACUAGUCGAGUCGGCCUGCGCGGAAGAUGUAACGGGGCUAAAACUAUGUGCCGAAGCUGCGGAUGUAUACUUUGUAUACGUGGUAGGGGAGCGUUCUGUAAGCCGAUGAAGGUGUGUUGAGAAGCAUGCUGGAGGUAUCAGAAGUGCGAAUGCUGACGUGAGUAACGACAAAACGGGUGAAAAACCCGUUCGCCGAAAGACCAAGGGUUCCAGUCCAACGUUAAUCGGGGCUGGGUGAGUCGACCCCUAAGGCGAGGCCGAAAGGCGUAGUCGAUGGGAAAAUGGUUAAUAUUCCAUUACUUCUGUGUAAUGCGAUGAGAGGACGGAGAAGGCUAAAUCAGCCUGGCGUUGGUUGUCCAGGUGAAAGGAUGUAGGCAUGUAUCUUAGGCAAAUCCGGGGUACUCUAUGCUGAGAUCUGAUAGCAAGCUGUACUUGUACAGCGAAGUGGUUGAUGCCAUGCUUCCAGGAAAAGUCUCUAAGCUUCAGUUACACAGGAAUCGUACCCGAAACCGACACAGGUGGUCAGGUCGAGUAGACCAAGGCGCUUGAGAGAACUCUGCUGAAGGAACUAGGCAAAAUGGUACCGUAACUUCGGGAGAAGGUACGCUGUUGUUGGUGAUGGAACUCGCUUCCUGAGCUGACGACAGCCGCAGAAACCAGGCCGCUGCAACUGUUUAUUAAAAACAUAGCACUCUGCAAACACGAAAGUGGACGUAUAGGGUGUGAUGCCUGCCCGGUGCUGGAAGGUUAAUUGAUGGGGUUAGCGUAAGCGAAGCUCUUGAUCGAAGCCCCAGUAAACGGCGGCCGUAACUAUAACGGUCCUAAGGUAGCGAAAUUCCUUGUCGGGUAAGUUCCGACCUGCACGAAUGGCAUAAUGAUGGCGGCGCUGUCUCCAGCAGAGGCUCAGUGAAAUCGAAAUCGCUGUGAAGAUGCAGUGUACCCGCGGCUAGACGGAAAGACCCCGUGAACCUUUACUGCAGCUUGACACUGAACUUUGACCUUACUUGUGUAGGAUAGGUGGGAGGCUUUGAAGCUGGAACGCUAGUUCCAGUGGAGCCGUCCUUGAAAUACCACCCUGGUAAUGUUGAGGUUCUAACUCUGUCCCGUGAUCCGGGACGAGGACCGUGUCUGGUGGGUAGUUUGACUGGGGCGGG
rnacentral:rRNA from 1 species